rnacentral:misc_RNA from 1 species
GCCGGUGAGGGGCUGGUCAGC